rnacentral:rRNA from 1 species
UACGGAGGAUGCGAGCGUUAUCCGGAUUUACUGGGUGUAAAGGGAGCGCAGACGGAACUGCAAGUCUGAUGUGAAAGCCCGGGGCUCAACCGCGGGACUGCAAGACUUGAGUGCAGGAGAGGAGAGUGGAAUUCCUAGUGUAGCGGUGAAAUGCGUAGAUAUUAGGAGGAACACCAGUAGCGAAGGCGGCUCUCUGGACUGUAACUGACGCUGAGGCACGAAAGCGUGGGGAGCAAACAGGAUUAGAUACCCCGGUAGU